GGCCAAUAAAAAGAGGAGGGAGGAGUCAGAGAAGAAGCUCCACCCCGAACCAGAUGAUGCCACGCCCCCUCCUCCUCCUCAGGUGCAGAGAGGACCCAGGAUCCCGGAGGAAGGCGGAGCCCCGGACAGCGAGGCCCUUCAGGUGAAGGAGCUGAGGCAGCAGGCCUCGUUGUACCGCCAUCGAGGCUGGGGGGCUAAUUUCUCCAGAGGGCAUCUGAGCCAGCUAGUGUCUGAACACAACGCUCUGUGGGAGCCCACAGACACCACGGACUCAACCUCCGACCCCCCCAGCCCCCGCCUGACCUCCGACCUCUGUCCCGAUCCAGACAGCCGCAGCACCUCCCACGUGGAGGCCCUGGACCU